GAGCUGCCCCGGAAGCUCUAUUCUUUCCUGUGGCUAACUUGACAGUGUUUGAAGAAGAUGGCGUCGAGCAGAAACGUCUGUUAGCAGAGUGUCUUUGUUGUGUUUUUAAAGUGUGAAGAUGUGUAAAGUCCAAAUGCUGAGAGUGUUGGUGAAGCAGCGACUAACUGCGGCUGCUGAAGAGAUAUUUGGGCUGUUUGAAAGAACGAUAGCAGAGUACGAGGAGCAACUUUGUCGCUCAAAAGAGGAGAACGAGCGACAACGGAAACUACUGGACGCUGUUUACAACGGAGCAGUGUUUUGAACACCAACAAACAGUGCAUCAUUUCAGGCCCACUGCCAUCCCCCCACUUUGGGGACGUAAAGUUCAGCUGACUCAGACAACUACACAUCUGGCUUAAGGGAUUCUGCUGCAGCAGAGGCAUCCCCUAUGUGGACAAUUUCACCACCUUCUACAACAGGGCUGAACUCUUUAAACAUGACCGCCUCCAUCCAAACAACACUGGAUCUCAUCUGUUAUCUACAAACAUUGAACUCACACUGCGCUCCUGCAAAGCCUUCAUCCUUUGACGUACUAGGUCCAGCAGCAGCUGUUGGUGGUUAAAGAAGAGGUUCCCCCUGAGCAGCAGGA